rnacentral:misc_RNA from 1 species
GACGCGGUCCACCGCGGCCUCGAAAUCCUUCUUGUCGACGAUCAGUUCCUUGUCGUUGUUCUGCGGAAUGACGCGGCCGUAAUCGGGGAAUGUGCCGUCGAUCAGUUUCGAGGUCAGCACAACAUCGCCGAUGGUGAAGCGGAUCUUGCCCUGCGACAGUUCGAUCUUGAGUUCGGCCUCGUUGUCCUCGAUCAGGCGCUGCACUUCGCCGACGGUCUUGCGCGGCACGAUCACGCCCGGCAUGCCAUCGGCGCUCUUCGGCAGCGG